CCCUUAGAUGUACUGGGCCGCACGCGUGCUACACUGACGCAUACAGCGAGCACUUUCCAGUUCCGAGAGGCUACUGGUAAUCAUCAAUAUGCGUCGUGAUGGGGAUAGAUCUUUGGAAUUCUGGAUCUUGAACGAGGAAUGCCUAGUAAUCGCAGGUCAUUAGCCUGCGAUGAUUAAGUCCCUGCCCUUUGUACACACCGCCCGUCGCUACUACCGAUUUCGAGUGGUCAGGUGAAUCUUUCGGACUGUGGGCGCCCUUGAGGUGUUCGCGGAAAGUCAGGUAAAUCUUAUCACUUAGAGGAAGUAAAAGUCGUAACA
rnacentral:rRNA from 1 species